CCCUUAGAUGUUCUGGGCCGCACGCGUGCUACACUGAUGCAUUCAACGAGUCUAAAACCUGGUCUGAUAGGGCUGGGUAAUCUUUUGAAAGUGCAUCGUGAUUGGGAUAGAUGAUUGCAAUUCUUCAUCUUCAACGAGGAAUGCCUAGUAAACGCAAGUCAUCAGCUUGCAUUGAUUACGUCCCUGCCCUUUGUACACACCGCCCGUCGCUCCUACCGAUUGAAUGAUCCGAUGAAUACCAUGGAUUGAGAGUACGAAUAGGUUCGCUUAUUUCUGCUGCUCGAGAAGUGGAGUAAAUCUUAUCAUUUAGAGGAGGGAGAAGUCGUAACA
rnacentral:rRNA from 1 species